GACAGAGGGUGCAAACGUUGUUCGGAUUUACUGGGCGUAAAGCGCGUGUAGGCGGCUUUGCAAGUCGGAUGUGAAAGCCCACGGCUCAACCGUGGAAGUGCAUCCGAAACUGCAUGGCUGGAGUCUCGGAGAGGAAGGUGGAAUGCUUGGUGUAGAGGUGAAAUUCGUAGAUAUCAAGCGGAACACCGGUGGCGAAGGCGGCCUUCUGGACAGUGACUGACGCUGAGACGCGAAAGCGUGGGGAGCAAACAGG
rnacentral:rRNA from 1 species